rnacentral:siRNA from 1 species
UGCUAGUAAGAUUUUACUCAACAC